rnacentral:lncRNA from 10 species
CUGGGACUGCGCGGGUGCUGCGGUGAGCUUCGGGGUCUGGUAUGGCUGGUGCUUGUGCAGCCACUGCCUCCGGCCUCGGUGAUUGCGAAACUGAGGGGCAGUUGGGUGCAGUGAGACUUGACGUGCCUUUUAAGAGAAGAAAGAUGCGUGAAGACUGUCCUGCACUUGGUGCAUUCAUAUGGUUUUUCUCCAGCAGAAACUUUCUUGUGCAGGAACUGAUGAGAAAGAAAUGAGUUCAUUAAAAACCAAGGGAAGGAAUGAUGCCAUCCUCACCUACUGAGGCCAGGUUCCGGAAGGUCUCCAGCAUCACAUCUCUGUAGAGGUCCCUCUGAGCAGAAUCCAGCAAAGCCCACUCCUCCAGGGUGAAGUCCACAGCCACAUCCUCAAAGACCACUGAGUCCUAAGACAAACCACACAGGUGUGCAGGAGGAUUGGAGACACUGAAAGUACUGGGGAACUGGACUCAAUUCAUAAAUUCAAACAAGAUUCUGUGGUGUCCCAACACCUCCUCUAUGACGCGAAUGUUAGAUCUUUUACUUAUUCACAAUCACUUCCUAGUAAACUUCAUGGCACCACUAUCAGUCUGAACUUAUCUCUGCCUUUUUACUGCGACUGCUCUUAUUUUCCUCUACCAGGAGGGUCUAGAGAAAUGCUAUGCAAAUGAAGUAACUUUUCCAUUUGAAACGUUGCAUAACGCAGCAGGCCUCGGUUGUCCAAACGAUGCACAUUUCAUAGGACUUUCGGAAAAGCCUUCCACCAGCUACUGCAGAAAAUGG